GAUUAACGCUGGCGGCGUGCAUAACACAUGCAAGUCGAACGAUGAAACUUAAUUGAUCCCUUCGGAGUGAAAUUAAGUGGAUUAGUGGCGGACGGGUGGGUAACGCGUGAGUAACCUGCCUUAGAGAUGGGGAUAGCCUCUGGAAACGGAGAAUAAUACCCAAUGAUACCAAGCUAUCGCAUGGUAGCCUGGUCAAAGAUUUAUCGCUCUAAGAUGGACUUGCGUCUGAUUAGCUAGUUGGUGAGAUAAUGGCUCACCAAGGCAACGAUCAGUAGCCGGCUUGAGAGAGUGUACGGCCACAUUGGGACUGAGACACGGCCCAGACUCCUACGGGAGGCAGCAGUGGGGAAUUUUGCACAAUGGGGGAAACCCUGAUGCAGCGACGCCGCGUGAUUUAGAAGGCCUUCGGGUUGUAAAAAUCUUUUGUAUAGGAAGAAAAUGACAGUACUAUACGAAUAAGGACCGGCUAAUUACGUGCCAGCAGCCGCGGUAA
rnacentral:rRNA from 2 species